rnacentral:tRNA from 1 species
GAUAAAGUGGCUGAUUUAGGCGGUAAAUUGUAAAUUUAUUUAAGAAAGAAUUUUCCUUUAUUA